AUGGGAAGAGCUGAAACUCCAUUUUAACCUAGCAGCGAACAAGGAAAAAUGCCAUAAAGCGGAACUCUUGCAUCAAAUGUUCAAUGACAAGAACUGCGCAUAUUUACUUUUUUUUAAUCCAAUAUUGUCCGAGAUGCAAAGAGUAAAUAAGUGUUUCCAGAGCAGCAACACAAAUGGCACGGAAUUAUUAAAUGAUUUGACGUUGGCCAUACAUUCAUUGAAAAAGCGCAUAGUUCCACCUAAUAUAGAUGUGGAUUUGUUGGAAACGGAGGGUGUCGAAAGAUAUGUCCACGAUGAUCUAGCGCAAGGAUAUGAGUUUGAGAAACAUGUAAAGUUAAUGAAAUUGGAUCCAUUAUCCGAAAAAGAGAUUCGAGACUGCUGCUCGAAAUUUUUAUUUGAGCUUAUUAAGCAACUCAAGCAGAGGCUUCCAGAAAACUAUAAGAUAUUGAAGCAGAUUGAUAUUUUUUUCUGUGAACAAUGUGUUGCGCAGUAACAAAAAAGAUAUUAUUCCAUUAUUGGAAGGACUAAGUUGCCAAAAUAUACAAGAAAAUUCAUUUUGUUAAUUGGCAAAAUACGGACAACACAAAAAAAUUUUGGAUUGAAGUCAAUUCCUAUAUGGAUUCUGGAGGCAACAACACAUUUGCGGAGUUGGCUCGGGUUUGCCAUUAAUAUAUUAUCGUUGCCUUGGUCUAACGCCGAAGUAGAGCGCAUAUUUAGCCAAGUCAACCUUGUGAAGUCUAAACUGCGAAAUAGACUACAUUUGAGUACACUUAACAGUAUACUUCACGUAAGAUAUGGCUUGCGCAGACAUGACAAAUGUUGCUAUACUUAUAAGUUGCCUCAUAAAUUCCUAAAAAUGAUAGGAACAGGAUUAACGUAUGAGCAUAAAAAUGAGGAGAAUGAGGACUGUAUUGACGAAAUUCUGAAAAUAUUGUAAAGAUCAGAGCAGCUGCUGCUCAAAUUCUAUAUAAAAUGUUUUAAUAGAAGCGAUUUCG